UAGUUGGUUAGAGCGCGCGCUUGAUAAGCGUGAGGUCGGAGGUUCAAGUCCUCCCAGGCCCACCACUAACAGUGCAACCCGAAGGGUUGUCACUUGCCGGUCGAUGCGAUCGGGCACUAUCAGGGGCCGUAGCUCAGCUGGGAGAGCGCCUGCUUUGCAAGCAGGAUGUCGUCGGUUCGAUCCCGUCCGGCUCCACCAUCUUCCCUGGAAGAGGUGUCGAGUAGAGAUGAUCACCGGUGGUCAGUCAUUCGAAAAAGAGUUUGCGCCGAGCUUUUGGCUCUGCGCCUGUUCUGUUUGACAUCGUAAAGAGAAGAUUUGUUCGAACUUCAUGAGCCGCAAGGAUCAUGAAUUGUCGCAAGGGACGCUCAAUCCCUUGCAUAUGAUGGGUCUGCCUAACCGCGCCCUCGAACGGAUCUCGAGAAGCUGGUCUUUUUGUGCCAAUUCCAUUGAAGCGCGAUCUCGCAGAGAUCGUCGCUAUGGCGACAAUCCCUUCGGGAUUGCGCUUAGCUAAUCCCGCAAGGGGUUUGGCUUGAACGACAAUCCCUUCGGGAUUGCGUGAUGGGUAUUGGCAAUGAGAACGAUCAAGUGUCUUAAGGGCAAUUGGUGGAUGCCUUGGCAUGCACAGGCGAUGAAGGACGUGAUACGCUGCGAUAAGCUACGGGGAGGUGCGAAUACCCUUUGAUCCGUAGAUCUCCGAAUGGGGAAAAACCCGGA
rnacentral:misc_RNA from 1 species